rnacentral:rRNA from 1 species
GGUUAAGUUAGAAAGGGCGCACGGUGGAUGCCUUGGCACUAGGAGCCGAUGAAGGACGGGACGAACACCGAUAUGCUUCGGGGAGCUGUAAGCAAGCUUUGAUCCGGAGAUUUCCGAAUGGGGAAACCCACUGCUCGUAAUGGAGCAGUAUCCAUAUCUGAAUUCAUAGGAUAUGAGAAGGCAGACCCGGGGAACUGAAACAUCUAAG